GCCCUAAAAGUUCGACACAGAAUAUCUGGCUUUGUAACCCAGAAGGGGAAUUAACGAAGAUUCAUUAGGGCU
rnacentral:tRNA from 1 species